UUAUGGCCAUAUCACGUUGAAAGACCAGUUCCCGUACGAUCACCGAAGUUGAGCAACGUCGAUCCGUGUCAAUACCAAGAUGGGUGACUGCUUGGGAAUACCAAAGCGCUGUAAG